rnacentral:rRNA from 1 species
CUUGGUCAUUUAGAGGAAGUAAAAGUCGUAACAAGGUUUCCGUAGGUGAACCUGCGGAAGGAUCAUUAGUGAACGCCCUCACGGGCUUAUAACUAUUCCAAACCUCUGUGAACCGUGCCCUUCGGGGCUAUUUUACAAACAUGGUGUGAUGAACGUCAUAUAUCAUAACAAAACAAAACUUUCAACAACGGAUCUCUUGGCUCUCGCAUCGAUGAAGAACGCAGCGAAAUGCGAUAAGUAAUGUGAAUUGCAGAAUUCAGUGAAUCAUCGAAUCUUUGAACGCACCUUGCGCCCUCUGGUAUUCCGGAGGGCAUGCCUGUUUGAGUGUCAUGUAGACUCAAUCCCUCGGGUUUCCGAGGAGAUUGGACUUGGGUGUUGCCGCUCUGCCGGCUCGCCUUAAAAGACUUAGCGGGAUAGCACCGUAGUCGGCGUAAUAAGUUUCGUCGGUGAAGGUUGUGAUGACUGCUUACAAUCGCCCUCGGGCAAUUUUUGACUCUGACCUCAAAUCAGGUAGGACUACCCGCUGAACUUAAGCAUAUCAAUAAGCGGAGGA